GAUAAACUUCACCAACUACUUAACAAAAUAUGGAAUGACGAACAUAUACCUGAUGACUGGCGUAAAGGAAUCCUCAUUAAAGUACCAAAGAAAGGCGACAAAUCAAUCUGUAGCAAUUGGAGAGGAAUUAUUUUGCUUUCCAUUCCUAGCAAAGUCCUAUGUCACAUCAUCCUACAGAGGUUAAAGAAAGAAGUUGAUAAGUUACUAAGAGACGAACAGGCCGGUUUCAGACAAGAGAGAUCAUGCAUUGACCAAAUUGCC
rnacentral:lncRNA from 1 species